rnacentral:lncRNA from 1 species
GUUCACUGGAAGGAUAAGAUCGUGAAGCUGAGGCUCCAAUACUUUGGCCACCUCAUGAGAAGAGAAGACUCCCUGGAAAAGACCCUGAUGUUGGGAAAGAUAGAGGGCACAAAGAGAAGGGGACGACAGAGGACGAGAUGGUUGGACAGUGUUCUUGAAGCUACCAGCAUGAGUUUGACUAAACUGCGGGAGGCAGUGGAAGACAGACGUGCCUGGCGUGCUCUGGUCCAUGGGGUCACGAAGUGUCGGACACGACUAAACGACUAAACAACAACAAAGAUAUGGUGGGGGGGGGGGAAGUUUAGGCUGGUAGCAGGAUUGGAGAUAAGUAAAAUCUUAUGAACAGGCAGUAGAGAGAAUGCAGCUAUAAGUUCCCAUUUCCCCCCAAAUAUUCAGAUACGGACACAUUUGAGUGGAUUUGAAUGGAGACAGAAAAAGGGCAAUUUAAAAGGACACAAAGUUAGCAAAUAUACAUAGCAGUGGGCAGAAACCCCAGACCUGGGGCAACUGUAGAGCUCCACAUCUCUCUUAAAGGUAAAGGUAAAGGUAAAGGUAAAGACCCCUGGAUGGUUAAGUCGAGUCUAAGGAGACUAUGGGAUUGUGGCGAGAACAGGAUAUUGGACUAGAUGGGCCAUUGGCCCAUCUUAUUGCUCUUACGUUCUCAUUUUUUCUCCCAGAGGGCUUGGACUUCUGGGAAACCCAAACAUCUCCAAGGGGCCAGUGGAAAACUAAAGAAAUGUCAGAAGCGGAUUCCUCAAAACUCCAGAAGUGGGAUUUCCUUCAGAGGCAUUUCUAUGUGAAAGAUGACGCCAUCCCUUAUCAAGAGGUUAACAAAUGCUUCGCUGCCUACGGUCGGCUCUGCGUCAAGUCUCAGCUCAUCACUUUGAAGGAUGAAGGCUACUGGGACGAGCUGAUGGAUGAGGGCAGGCCCACGAUUGUGGUGAAGGAUUGGUGAGUGACUGAGCAACCUGUCAUGGCUGGGGGUGGGAUCAGACCAGGAGGUACAUAGUGAGACAAAGUUCUAAGGUAUCUAUGAGUUCCACACAACAGGAGGGGCCAGUGGGUUGCAGACAGAGGAACAGGUUUUGGUGGACCAUGGACAAAUCCAGAAGUGGCCAGUGGUUUGGGCACAGAAUAGUGAGUCUGGCUAGAGGUUGGUAGACCAUAGAAUCAUAGAAUCAUAGAGUUGGAAUAGACCACAAGGGCCAUCGAGUCCAACCCCCUGCCAAGCAGGAAACACCAUCAGAGCACUCCUGACAUAUGAUUGUCAAGCCUCUGCUUAAAGACCUCCAAAGAAGGAGACUCCACCACACUCCUUGGCAGCAAAUUCCACUGUCGAACAGCUCUUACUGUCAGGAAGUUCUUCCUAAUGUUUAGGUGGAAUCUUCUUUCUUGUAGUUUGGAUCCAUUGCUCCGUGUCCGCUUCUCUGGAGCAGCAGAAAACAACCUUUCUCCCUCCUCUAUAUGACAUCCUUUUAUAUAUUUGAACAUGGCUAUCAUAUCACCCCUUAACCUCCUCUUCUCCAGGCUAAACAUGCCCAGCUCCCUUAGCCGUUCCUCAUAAGGCAUCGUUUCCAGGCCUUUGACCAUUUUGGUUGCCCUCCUCUGGACACGUUCCAGUUUGUCAGUGUCCUUCUUGAACUGUGGUGCCCAGAACUGGACACAGUACUCCAGGUGAGGUCUGACCAGAGCAGAAUACAGUGGCACUCCUAACCAUGAGACUCCUAAU